rnacentral:rRNA from 1 species
GAUCUUCCACAAUGGGCGAAAGCCUGAUGGAGCGACGCCGCGUGAGGGAUGAAGGUCUUCGGAUCGUAAACCUCUGUCUUCCGGGACGAUAGUGACGGUACCGGAGGAGGAAGCCACGGCUAACUACGUGCCAGCAGCCGCGGUAAUACGUAGGGGGCGAGCGUUGUCCGGAAUUACUGGGCGUAAAGGGUACGUAGGCGGCUAUAUAAGUCAGGUGUGAAAUACCAGUGCUUAACACUGGAAUUGCAUUUGAAACUGUGUAGCUUGAGUGCAGGAGAGGAAAGUGGAAUUCCUAGUGUAGCGGUGAAAUGCGUAGAGAUUAGGAGGAACACCAGUGGCGAAGGCGACUUUCUGGACUGUAACUGACGCUGAGGUACGAAAGCGUGGGUAGCGAACA